rnacentral:rRNA from 1 species
AAAGUUUAAAGGUGCUUCGGCACCACUGAUGGAUGAGCCUGCGGCGCAUUAGCUAGUUGGUAGGGUAAAGGCCUACCAAGGCGACGAUGCGUAGCCGACCUGAGAGGGUGAACGGCCACACUGGGACUGAGACACGGCCCAGACUCCUACGGGAGGCAGCAGUAGGGAAUCUUCGGCAAUGGGCGAAAGCCUGACCGAGCAACGCCGCGUGAAUGAUGAAGGCCUUCGGGUUGUAAAAUUCUGUUAUAAGGGAAGAAUGGCUCUAGUAGGAAAUGGCUAGAGUGUGACGGUACCUUAUGAGAAAGCCACGGCUAACUACGUGCCAGCAGCCGCGGUAAUACGUAGGUGGCGAGCGUAUCCGGAAUUAUUGGGCGUAAAGAGCGCGCAGGUGGUUGAUUAAGUCUGAUGUGAAAGCCCACGGCUUAACCGUGGAGGGUCAUUGGAAACUGGUCAACUUGAGUGCAGAAGAGGGAAGUGGAAUUCCAUGUGUAGCGGUGAAAUGCGUUGAGAUAUGGAGGAACACCAGUGGCGA